UUUCAUUAAGAAAUGGCUGAUGACUCAUCAGAUUUCUGUCUAAGUUCUCCUGACACACCAGAAACAUAUGAUUAUCGCCCAGUAAAAGAAAUGGGCACAGCUACUGGGAACAAUCCCUCACAGACCAUAGAGGAUACAACAAAGCAAACGUGCAAAAUCAAGAAAAAUAAGAAGGAAAAGAAAGAAAAACAUCUGCAUAUGAAAGUUAGUUAUGAAAAGAAAGAAAAGAAUCUGGAAGCAAGAGAGAUUGCUGUAGAAAAGAGAGAAACUCAUCAGGAUAGAAGAGAAAUUCAUCUGGAAGAGAGAGAAAAGCAUCUGAAUGAAAAAGAAACGAAUUUAGUAGAAAAAGAAAAGCACCUACAACAAAAAGAAAUUACUUUGCAAGAGAAAGGAAAGCAUCUGGAUGGAAAAGAAGUUCAGUUUGAAGAAAAAGAAAAGCAUCUGGAUGGAAAAGAAAUGAAUUUAGCAGAAAAAGAAAAGCAUCUACAGCAAAGAGGGAUUCAUUUGCAAGAGAAAGAAAAGCAUCUGGAUGGAAAAGAAGUUCAAUUUGAAGAGAAAGAAAAACAACUGUUUGUAAGAGAGAUUAAUUUGGGGAAAAGAUCAAAAUAUCUAGAGGGAAGAGAGACUCGCUUGCAAGAGAGAACAAAACAUCUGGAAGAAAAAGACAUUCUUUAGAAGGAAGCUUAAAGCAUCUGUUGGGGAGAGAGAAUAGUUUGCAAGAGAGAACAAAACAUCUGGAAGAAAAAGAAGUUUCUUUAGAUGAACGUUUAAAGCAUCUGUUGGGAGAGAGAAUAGUUGCAAGAGAGAGGAAAGUGUCUGGAUGGAAGAGAGGUUCAACUGGAAAAGAGGGAAAUGCGUAUAGAUAGAAGAGAGAGUCGUGUGGAUGAGAGAGAACAGCGCCUGGAGGGAAAGGAGAUUCAUUUGGAAGAGAAAGAAAAAAAUCUUGCACAACAUGACCUGAGACAUCUUAAUUCUGCAGAUAGAGAAAAUGAAAAACAGGAAAGAAGUUCAUUCAUGAAAAGUUCCAAGAAGCAAAAGAGAGAACAUCCUGAUGAAGAAGAGAAAGAGCACUCUGUUGAUGAGUAACCCAUUCAGUGUAGAAACAGACAGUAGACCUGGUGAGUCAACAGAAAAUAGUUUUUUUCUGUGUAUCUCCAUUUAUUACUCAUUUUCUCUGAAGGACAAUUUUCUCACAUCACUAGAUGUGAGAUAGACUAGAUAGACUGAUGUUUGUCC
ensembl:lncRNA